AGGGGUGUCGCCAAGCGGUAAGGCAUCUGAUUUUGGUUCAGACAUACCGGGGUUCGAAUCCCUGCACCCCUG
rnacentral:tRNA from 3 species